AUGCACGCUGGCGGCGUGCUUCACCCCUGCAAGUCGCACGAAGCAUUUAAGACAGAUUACUUCGGUUUGAAGUCUUUUAUGACUGAGUGGCGGACGGGUGAGUAACGCGUGGGUAACCUGCCUCAUACAGGGGGAUAGCAGCUGGAAACGGCUGGUAAUACCGCAUAAGCGCACAGUACCACAUGGUACAGUGUGAAAAACUCCGGUGGUAUGAGAUGGACCCGCGUCUGAUUAGCUUGUUGGCGGGGUAACGGCCCACCAAGGCGACGAUCAGUAGCCGACCUGAGAGGGUGACCGGCCACAUUGGGACUGAGACACGGCCCAGACUCCUACGGGAGGCAGCAGUGGGGAAUAUUGCACAAUGGAGGAAACUCUGAUGCAGCGACGCCGCGUGAGUGAAGAAGUAGUUCGCUAUGUAAAGCUCUAUCAGCAGGGAAGAUAGUGACGGUACCUGACUAAGAAGCUCCGGCUAAAUACGUG
rnacentral:rRNA from 1 species